rnacentral:rRNA from 1 species
GCCCAUAAUCUAGCCAACAUCCCUACCUAUGCAAAAAUCUCGAUUAAUCCAAAUAUAAUAAAACAUUUUAAUCUUCUAGUAGAGGUGAUCAAAAAAUAUAUCAGCGCUUCAGAUUAAGUACCGCAAGGGAAAGAUGAAAUAAAAAUGAAACAACAUUAAAGCACUAAACAGCAGAGCCCACCCCUCGUACCUUUUGCAUCAUGGUCUAGCUAGUCUUACCAAGCAAAAAGAACUUUCAGUUUGACCCCCCGAAACUAAGUGAGCUACUUCGAAACAACCUAAAGAGCCAACCCGUCUCUGUUGCAAAAGAGUGGGACGAUUUCCAAGUAGAAGUGAUAAACCUACCGCGCUUAGAGAUAGCUGGUUACUCAAGAAAAGAAUAUAAGUUCAACCUUAAGCCUUCCACUUACACAUAAAAUUUCAUCAGGCUUAAGAGCUACUCGAAUAAGGCACAGCUUAUUCGAAACAGGAUACAACCUAUAAUAUAGGGUAACACCUAGGAGCAAACAACAAGUGGGCCUAAGAGCAGCCACCUUCUAAAAAGCGUUAAAGCUUAAUAUCCACCUCUAAUAAAUGUCUUCACUAAUCUCCAACCCAUAAAUAAUAUUGAGUAACUCCAUAAAUAUAUGGAAGAUAUAAUGCUAGAACUAGUAAUAAGAAAUAGAUUUUUCUCCAAAAUGUAAGCUUAAGCCUCAUUAGACCCGCUACUGGCAAUUAACGCAAAUGAACCUAUUAUACUAACUCCAACAAGAAAACCCUAUAUACCACAACGUCAAUCUUACACUAGAACAUUUAUGGAAAGAUUAAAAGAGAAAGAAGGAACUCGGCAAACUUAGACCCCGCCUGUUUACCAAAAACAUCGCCUCUUGACAAAAUAUAAGAGGUCCAGCCUGCCCAGUGACAAAGUUCAACGGCCGCGGUACCCUAACCGCGCGAAGGUAGCAUAAUCACUUGUUCUUUAAAUGGGGACUCGUAUCAACGGCAUCACGAGGGUCACACUGUCUCCUUUCUCCAAUCAAUGAAACUGAUCUCUCCGUGAAGAAGCGGAGAUUUAAUUAUAAGACGAGAAGACCCCAUGGAGCUUUAAACCUACUACACCCCCACUUACUACACCCAAUCAAUCGACGAGGCCCUGUAUAAUAGGUUUUAGGUUGGGGUGACCGCGGAGCAUAAUAAAACCUCCACGAUGAACGGGACUACCCCCUUAUCUAAGAGUAACAUCUCUAAGAAUUAGCACACUAACAUUAAAUGAUCCGACACUCGAUCAACGAACCAAGUUACCCUGGGGAUAACAGCGCAAUCCACUUCAAGAGCCCCUAUCGACAAGUGGGUUUACGACCUCGAUGUUGGAUCAGGGUAUCCUAGUGGUGCAGCAGCUACUAAAGGUUCGUUUGUUCAACGAUUAAAACCCUACGUGAUCUGAGUUCAGACCGGAGUAAUCCAGGUCGGUUUCUAUCUAUAAAGAGCUACUCCCAGUACGAAAGGAUCGGAGUAACAUGGCCUAUGCAUAAACAAGCCAUCCCCAUUCACCAAUGAACCCAACUCAAUUGGCCACAGUCCUACAACUACUCCUAAACCAGGAUUU